GCCCGACUGGCGUAGUGGCUAACGCGUGCGCCUUCUAAGCGCAAGAUCGCGGGCUCGACCCCCACGUUGGGUU